AGUCCUCGUGCUGUGAGAAACAAUGAAUAAUGGAGAUCCUAUAAUUUAUGAACCAACUUAACGAAAAUAAGGGGAAAUUCAUGUGGGCGUACCUAAUAACACUCCAAACCAAAUUGCUUAAUUAUAUGCAUCCCAAAGACCAAAAAGCUCGCAUUCCUGAUUAUAUUAUGCUUGGAUUCAUUAAUAACAUUAUGAUUUCUCCCUUACAC
rnacentral:lncRNA from 1 species